rnacentral:rRNA from 1 species
GACGAACGCUGGCGGCGUGCUUAACACAUGCAAGUCGAACGGAGAGGCCUGCUUUCCCUUGUGGAUUGCGGGUACUCGAGUGGCGAACGGGUGAGUAACACGUGAGUGAUCUGCCCCCAACUUGGGUAUAAGCCUGGGAAACUGGGUCUAAUUCCCGAUAGGACUGCAGGGUGGUGCCUGUGGUGGAAAACGAUUUUCUAGUGGUUGGGGAUGAGCUCGCGGCCUAUCAGCUUGUUGGUGGGGUAAUGGCCUACCAAGGCGGCGACGGGUAGCCGGCCUGAGAGGGUGGACGGCCGCAUUGGGACUGAGAUACGGCCCAGACUCCUACGGGAGGCAGCAGUGGGGAAUAUUGCACAAUGGGCGGAAGCCUGAUGCAGCGACGCCGCGUGGGGGAUGACGGCCUUCGGGUUGUAAACUCCUUUCGACCGCGAGGAAGCCACCUGGUUGGAAGGGUGGUGACGGUAGUGGUAGAAGAAGCACCGGCUAACUACGUG